AUGGAUGGUCAUAGUGCUAGCUUGGAGGAAAUAGAAGAAUAUCACAUGAUGGUUAGUCAGAUGUUUGCAAGCGAGAAGCAAGGUUACGAGCACUACAACAGAUAUGCAAGAGCAAAAGGUUUUAGUGUCAGAUUGGAUGACAAGGAGUACGUGAAGGGCACCAGAGAGGUGAAAGCAAGACAUUUCUGCUGCUCUAAAGAAGGGCACCGAUUGGAGAAGUACUUUCAAGCGACUGACCAAAAAAGGGAGCCACGGGCGCUGACCCGUUGUGGUUGCAAAGCUAUGCUUGAGAUCCAACAUGAUGCAGGCAGGGUCAGUGGUUUGUUAAGAAGUUUGUUGAUGUCCAUAACCACCCGCUAG
rnacentral:rRNA from 1 species